UACCAGCAUUUUUUUGCUUAGCAUUUUCUGGUAAUGACAGCUUGAUGUUAGUUUAAUUUAUGCAGACAGAAUCGUUAGAUAACAUGGAUAGCUGUCUAUUCUCGUUAGAUAACAUGGAUAGCUGUCUAUUCUUUUGUGUCUUUCUCGGCAGUAUCAAACUGUAAUGAGUUUCAUACGUGAACCAGCCCCAAAUGUACAGGUCUUUAGAUGAAAACAAAUGCAUUCUUAAACCAUGUGUAAAUACAACGUUUUUAGAACAGGAGCCAAGGCUAUUAAACUUUGUUGUCUUUAUCAUUAAGAUGUGAGGUAAAACAGCUAAUGUUCAAGGCCUUUUAUGAAAGUUUUCUUUUCGAAUAUGAGCACUUUCGCGUGGCCAAAAUAGGAGUUAAUUUUUCUCACGUCAGGACGGAUUCUUACUUUUGAUCUGUUUAAUUAGUUUGGUGAAUAUCUCAAUGUGUUUUAAAACCUUUUACAACAUUUGUGGAAAGCAUUUGUGAACGAAUUCAUCAGUGAAUUCUUUUUUGUUUUUCAGUCAAUGCCUUGUAUGAGUAUGUUUUUUCUCGAAGAACUUUUGUUAUUAGGUCAUAGGAAAAACUGCUAGAAUAAUUGAAACGUGAUCUCUUCGCAUCUUUGUUUCACCCCAGAAAACUGGUUUCCUAUGUCUGUUUCAUUCUUUUGCUACGUACAUUUGCAGUACUAGUAAAUAAGUCUAAAGUUGA